CUUUUGUAGAAUGAACCGGCGAGUUACGAUUUGAUGCAAGGUUAAGCAGUAAAUGUGGAGCCGUAGCGAAAGCGAGUCUGAAUAGGGCGUUUAGUAUUUGGUCGUAGACCCGAAACCAGGUGAUCUACCCUUGGUCAGGUUGAAGUUCAGGUAACACUGAAUGGAGGACCGAACCGACUUACGUUGAAAAGUGAGCGGAUGAACUGAGGGUAGCGGAGAAAUUCCAAUCGAACCUGGAGAUAGCUGGUUCUCUCCGAAAUAGCUUUAGGGCUAGCCUCAAGUGAUGAUUAUUGGAGGUAGAGCACUGUUUGGACGAGGGGCCCCUCUCGGGUUACCGAAUUCAGACAAACUCCGAAUGCCAAUUAAUUUAACUUGGGAGUCAGAACAUGGGUGAUAAGGUCCGUGUUCGAAAGGGAAACAGCCCAGACCACCAGCUAAGGUCCCAAAAUAUAUGUUAAGUGGAAAAGGAUGUGGCGUUGCCCAGACAACUAGGAUGUUGGCUUAGAAGCAGCCAUCAUUUAAAGAGUGCGUAAUAGCUCACUAGUCGAGUGACACUGCGCCGAAAAUGUACCGGGGCUAAACAUAUUACCGAAGCUGUGGAUUGUCCUUUGGACAAUGGUAGGAGAGCGUUCUAAGGGCGUUGAAGCAUGAUCGUAAGGACAUGUGGAGCGCUUAGAAGUGAGAAUGCCGGUGUGAGUAGCGAAAGACGGGUGAGAAUCCCGUCCACCGAUUGACUAAGGUUUCCAGAGGAAGGCUCGUCCGCUCUGGGUUAGUCGGGUCCUAAGCUGAGGCCGACAGGCGUAGGCGAUGGAUAACAGGUUGAUAUUCCUGUACCACCUAUAAUCGUUUUAAUCGAUGGGGGGACGCAGUAGGAUAGGCGAAGCGUGCGAUUGGAUUGCACGUCUAAGCAGUAAGGCUGAGUAUUAGGCAAAUCCGGUACUCAUUAAGGCUGAGCUGUGAUGGGGAGAAGACAUUGUGUCUUCGAGUCGUUGAUUUCACACUGCCGAGAAAAGCCUCUAGAUAGAAAAUAGGUGCCCGUACCGCAAACCGACACAGGUAGUCAAGAUGAGAAUUCUAAGGUGAGCGAGCGAACUCUCGUUAAGGAACUCGGCAAAAUGACCCCGUAACUUCGGGAGAAGGGGUGCUCUUUAGGGUUAACGCCCAGAAGAGCCGCAGUGAAUAGGCCCAAGCGACUGUUUAUCAAAAACACAGGUCUCUGCUAAACCGUAAGGUGAUGUAUAGGGGCUGACGCCUGCCCGGUGCUGGAAGGUUAAGAGGAGUGGUUAGCUUCUGCGAAGCUACGAAUCGAAGCCCCAGUAAACGGCGGCCGUAACUAUAACGGUCCUAAGGUAGCGAAAUUCCUUGUCGGGUAAGUUCCGACCCGCACGAAAGGCGUAACGAUUUGGGCACUGUCUCAACGAGAGACUCGGUGAAAUCAUAGUACCUGUGAAGAUGCAGGUUACCCGCGACAGGACGGAAAGACCCCGUGGAGCUUUACUGUAGCCUGAUAUUGAAAUUCGGCACAGCUUGUACAGGAUAGGUAGGAGCCUUUGAAACGUGAGCGCUAGCUUACGUGGAGGCGCUGGUGGGAUACUACCCUAGCUGUGUUGGCUUUCUAACCCGCACCACUUAUCGUGGUGGGAGACAGUGUCAGGCGGGCAGUUUGACUGGGGCGGUCGCCUCCUAAAAGGUAACGGAGGCGCUCAAAGGUUCCCUCAGAAUGGUUGGAAAUCAUUCAUAGAGUGUAAAGGCAUAAGGGAGCUUGACUGCGAGACCUACAAGUCGAGCAGGGUCGAAAGACGGACUUAGUGAUCCGGUGGUUCCGCAUGGAAGGGCCAUCGCUCAACGGAUAAAAGCUACCCCGGGGAUAACAGGCUUAUCUCCCCCAAGAGUUCACAUCGACGGGGAGGUUUGGCACCUCGAUGUCGGCUCAUCGCAUCCUGGGGCUGUAGUCGGUCCCAAGGGUUGGGCUGUUCGCCCAUUAAAGCGGUACGCGAGCUGGGUUCAGAACGUCGUGAGACAGUUCGGUCCCUAUCCGUCGUGGGCGUAGGAAAUUUGAGAGGAGCUGUCCUUAGUACGAGAGGACCGGGAUGGACAUACCUCUGGUGUACCAGUUGUCGUGCCAACGGCAUAGCUGGGUAGCUAUGUGUGGACGGGAUAAGUGCUGAAAGCAUCUAAGCAUGAAGCCCCCCUCAAGAUGAGAUUUCCCAACUUCGGUUAUAAGAUCCCUCAAAGAUGAUGAGGUUAAUAGGUUCGAGGUGGAAGCAUGGUGACAUGUGGAGCUGACGAAUACUAA
rnacentral:rRNA from 1 species